rnacentral:rRNA from 1 species
AACGAACGCUGGCGGCAUGCCUAACACAUGCAAGUCGAACGAGACCUUCGGGUCUAGUGGCGCACGGGUGCGUAACGCGUGGGAACCUGCCCUUAGGUUCGGAAUAACUCCCCGAAAGGGGUGCUAAUACCGGAUAAUGUCUUCGGACCUAAGAUUUAUCGCCUUUGGAUGGGCCCGCGUUGGAUUAGCUAGUUGGUAGGGUAAAAGCCUACCAAGGCGACGAUCCAUAGCUGGUCUGAGAGGAUGAUCAGCCACACUGGGACUGAGACACGGCCCAGACUCCUACGGGAGGCAGCAGUGGGGAAUAUUGGACAAUGGGCGAAAGCCUGAUCCAACAAUGCCGCGUGAGUGAUGAAGGCCUUAGGGUUGUAAAGCUCUUUUACCCGGGAUGAUAAUGACAGUACCGGGAGAAUAAGCUCCGGCUAACUCCGUG